rnacentral:pre_miRNA from 1 species
GGUGUACUCCCUCCGUCCGAAAAUACUUGUCAUCAAAAUGAACAAAAAUGGAUGUAUCUAGAACUAAAAUACAUCUAGAUACAUCCUCUUUUAUUUAUUUUGAUGACAAGUAUUUCCGAACGGAGGGAGUAUAUU